AUCGAACGCUGGCGGAAUGCUUUACACAUGCAAGUCGAACGGCAGCACGGACUUCGGUCUGGUGGCGAGUGGCGAACGGGUGAGUAAUGUAUCGGAACGUGCCCAGUCGUGGGGGAUAACGUAGUGAAAAUUACGCUAAUACCGCAUACGAUCUAUGGAUGAAAGCGGGGGAUCGCAAGACCUCGCGCGAUUGGAGCGGCCGAUAUCAGAUUAGGUAGCUGGUGGGGUAAAGGCCCACCAAGCCAACGAUCUGUAGCGGGUCUGAGAGGACGACAAGGCAGACUGGAACUGGGACACGGUCCAGACUCCUACGGGGGGCAGCGGUGGGGAAUUUGGGCGAAUGGGCGAAGGCCUGAUCCAGCCAUUCCGCGUGCAGGAUGAAGGCCCUCGGGUUGUAAACUGCUUUUGUACAGAACGAAAAGGUUUCUACUAAUACUAGGAGCUCAUGACGGUACUGUAAGAAUAAGAACCGGCUAACUACGUGCCAGCCGCCGCCGUAA
rnacentral:rRNA from 1 species